GACAGUUUAGCUUAAUUGGUAAAGCAAUUGACCGGUAAUCAAGGGAUUUGAGUUCGAGUUUCAUGGCUAACU
rnacentral:tRNA from 1 species